UCGCAGAAUUAGGUUAUCGUUUUGGCCUAUAAAUUGAUUCUAUAGAUCUGUUCCACAUUCAUCUUCAUCCUUUCAAAUUCCUUCCUUACGGCGAUUUACAACUAGAAUAGCCGAUUUAGGGUUUCAAAAUUCGUUCAUCUAAGCUUUGAUUUUGUUUCGAGUUACUUUCUCGAUCGGUUUCGAAUCAUAGAUCUAACCAAUUAGUUCCUCGAUUGUUCAAACAGAAUGAUGAAGAGAUUGAUAAGGUUUCUCUGGCAUCGUUGUAACAUUGAGAUCAACUGGUUGAAGAUUUGUACAUUCAGAUGAGCCACUUGUUGAAGAUAUGUCUUUAAUAUGAUUGUAAGAUUAAAUAUGAUGACUCGGAAUAAGGAGAAAACAGGAAAACAAUUCCUACUCAAUUAGUUGUUGCUAUUGAAUUUGUGUGUUACACUAGUGAGGGGAAACUUUGCUGACAUUUUCUUGUCUUGAAUAGAGUUUUCAAUUCUAAAUAUUAGAUCUCUUUAUGAUACAUUGAAAAAAGGCGACCAAUCGUUUUUUUACUUUGUAUCUUGGUGGAGUCACUGAAUGGUCUUGAAAAAAGACGACCAAUCGUUUUUUUAACUUUGUAUCUUGUUGGAGAGGCAUAUCCUUAUGAUAAGAAGCUCUUAAAGUAAUGACUUAGUAGAAACAAAAUUAUAAUGAAGUAAACUCGGUUUGUUUUAUCA